rnacentral:rRNA from 1 species
CACGUAGGCGGAUUGUUAAGUCGGGGUGAAAUCCUGGAGCUCAACUCCAGAACUGCCUUCGAUACUGGCGAUCUCGAGUUCGGGAGAGGUGAGUGGAACUGCGAGUGUAGAGGUGAAAUUCGUAGAUAUUCGCAAGAACACCAGUGGCGAAGGCGGCUCACUGGCCCGAUACUGACGCUGAGGUGCGAAAGCGUGGGAGCAAACA